rnacentral:rRNA from 1 species
UACGGGGGGGAGCAAGCGUUGUUCGGAUUUACUGGGCGUAAAGAGCGCGCAGGCGGUCGUUCAAGUCGCGUGUGAAAGCCCCCGGCUCAACUGGGGAGGGUCACGCGAUACUGAUCGACUCGAAGGCAGGAGAGGGUAGUGGAAUUCCCGGUGUAGUGGUGAAAUGCGUAGAUAUCGGGAGGAACACCAGUGGCGAAGGCGACUACCUGGCCUGUUCUUGACGCUGAGGCGCGAAAGCUAGGGGAGCAAACGGG